rnacentral:misc_RNA from 1 species
AGGUUUCUCUGAGGUGUGGCCUGUUAGAGCAAUCAUGGCUACUCAACACAAAAAAAGUUCGUACAAUUCUUUCUUGUCAGCUACUCCAACUAUAAAGGAGUUAACUGAGUAUGUUGAUGUUAGUACUAACUGGUACAUAGUUGGUACAAUGCUUGACUUGGAUCAGAAACGAUUAAGAAGCAUUAAAGAACGAGGUGGCUCUGACACUGACAAGAUAAUAGAGAUGUUCAAUCUAUGGCUGACCACUACUCCUACUGCUAGUAGGAAACAGGUACUGGAAACAUUGAGAAAAAAAGUAGUGGGAGAGAAUACUCUUGCUGAUGAAUAUGAAAAGCAUUUGAAGGAAUUACAUGAAGCAACUUAUACACCGCCAUCUACUGAAGCAGUUUAUGUUCUUCAAAGCAAUAUUCAAUCAUUGAAUGAAGCUCUGGUCUCUCCUGUACAAGUGUCUCAACUGUUAUACUGUAAGGGAUGUAUAAGUGAAGCUACUCUGGAUGAAAUGGAGAGGAUAGAUCAGAGCAGGUCACUGGAUGACAAGAAGACCACUCUAUUGACUGCCAUACAAGAAACAGUGUCUAGUGACUACAGGAAACUUAAAGAUAUUGCUACAGUGCUGUCUGAUGUUGAAGAAACAAGAGAUAUAGCCAAUGAAAUAAUGAGUAAUGUUGAAAACAUGCCUGAAGAGGAGGAUCAAGUGGUUCAGUUGUUUACACAAGAGAUGGGAAGUAGUGAUGAAAGUCAUGCUUCUAAUGUAUUGAGGAACAACUACAGUGCUCUCUCUCAGUCAAUUACUGAACCAGUUCGUAUGGCAAGGUUGCUUCAUGAAGAGGUUAUAUCUGAUGAGGCUCUGUCUCGUGUCAUAUCUACAAGAGGUUCUGUCUCUGACAGUAGAGCAGUUCUCCUCAAAGCUGUACGAGGUGCUGUUCACUCCAAUUACAAACACCUGGAGUUGUUUGUUACUGUAUUGAGGAAGUUCUCAAAGACUGCUCAUAUUGGUGAUGCUAUCUUUGAAGCAUACACAAAGCAUUUUAACUAUUAUGAUGAAUAUUCUGAAGAGGCUGAAAUUCAUUUGGCAGAAAUACCUGUAGAUGUAAUGUCAGAAGAAAAUUCCCAAUUAAAGUCUAUGCCUACAAGUUCAUCACUUGAUGAUAAAGAAAUCAAUGAACAUAAUGACAAUAAAAUACUUUUUCCCCGUGAUAUGAGGAAUAAGUUUAUGAAAAUGAGAAGGAAGUUUGGUUCCACGGUUCUUAAAGUCUGUCAUAAAUUUGUUUGCAGAGAAAACGUUUUGAAUAUUGAUGAAAUGAAGGAACUUAUUAGUGACUGGUUUCCUGAUCUGAAGCCUCAACUUUCUUAUAAAAAUACGGUUGGUGAAGUAUUAAAAGUACUGAAAAGAAAGUGUAGCAUCAUUGAUAUAAGUCCCCUUGAAGAUUUAGCUUCUGAAUUUGACAUAGAAGAGGCUAAGCCAAUCAUUAAGUCAUUCAAAGAGGAAGCUAAGAAUUUCUGCAAAUCGGUAUCAGUGAGUCUUUGCCUUGAUGAGAAGCUACAGGCAGUUGCUACUCCGUCUCGCCUUUUAUGUGAAACCGUUGUAUUUGUCUUCAACUGGGAUCCUGAUGAACAUACAUUGCAGGAUAUCAAUGACGUAUUGUUUGAGUUAGAGCCACUACAUAAGUGCCACAUACAGAUGGAUAAAGUUGGUACUGGUCAAUCAGUUGUAGUGGCCUGCUACUGUGCUACUGAAUACACUGGCUUACUAAUAAUGGAUGUCCUUGGUAUGAUGGAUACAUUGCAAAGGAAAGGCUUAAAGGAAUUUAUAGUGGGCAACUUUACUCUGUGGAAUGCUACUCAGGUAGUGAGUAAGAAUACAGUGGUGACAGACAUUCUAGUACAGAUUAAUGACUUAAAAGCUGCUUUAAGAGACAGAGAUGAAAAGAUAAUGGCUACUGAAACAGAGUUAGCAGCAUUCAUGGAGCUAUCAGAAAACAGAUUAAAAGAAAUAGAAGCAGUAAAGAUAGAUCUUUACAAGAGCCAACGCAUCAAUGUGCAAAAAGAAGAAGUAAUUACUGAAUUAAAAGAAAAAAUUUCAAUACUAUUCGAAGAAGUGAUAGAGAAAGAAAAUUUAUUAAAACAAUAUUUGGAAGAAACAGAUUCUGAAGAAUCAUCAUAUGAAGGAGUACCAGAAGCAGAUGAAUCACUCGAUACUAGUACAUCAACAACUCAACCAUGCAGGCAUGCACAAGUUCAAAUGAUCAGCUCAUAAUAUGUACAUGCUGACCCAUGUGACGACUUAAUUGUUUAGAAUCAUCAUAUGAAGAAGUACCAGAAGCAGAUGAAUCACUCAAUACUAGCACAUCAAUAGUACAAGAGGAUGGAGAGGUGGA